GACGAACGCUGGCGGCGUGCUUAACACAUGCAAGUCGAACGGAAAGGCCCUGCUUUUGUGGGGUGCUCGAGUGGCGAACGGGUGAGUAACACGUGAGUAACCUGCCCUUGACUUUGGGAUAACUUCAGGAAACUGGGGCUAAUACCGGAUAGGAGCUCCUGCUGCAUGGUGGGGGUUGGAAAGUUUCGGCGGUUGGGGAUGGACUCGCGGCUUAUCAGCUUGUUGGUGGGGUAGUGGCUUACCAAGGCUUUGACGGGUAGCCGGCCUGAGAGGGUGACCGGCCACAUUGGGACUGAGAUACGGCCCAGACUCCUACGGGAGGCAGCAGUGGGGAAUAUUGCACAAUGGGCGGAAGCCUGAUGCAGCAACGCCGCGUGCGGGAUGACGGCCUUCGGGUUGUAAACCGCUUCCGCCUGUGACGAAGCGUGAGUGACGGUAAUGGGUAAAGAAGCACCGGCUAACUACGUGCCAGCAGCCGCGGUGAUACGUAGGGUGCGAGCGUUGUCCGGAUUUAUUGGGCGUAAAGGGCUCGUAGGUGGUUGAUCGCGUCGGAAGUGUAAUCUUGGGGCUUAACCCUGAGCGUGCUUUCGAUACGGGUUGACUUGAGGAAGGUAGGGGAGAAUGGAAUUCCUGGUGGAGCGGUGGAAUGCGCAGAUAUCAGGAGGAACACCAGUGGCGAAGGCGGUUCUCUGGGCCUUUCCUGACGCUGAGGAGCGAAAGCGUGGGGAGCGAACAGGCUUAGAUACCCUGGUAGUCCACGCUGUAAACGGUGGGUACUAGGUGUGGGGUCCAUUCCACGGGUUCCGUGCCGUAGCUAACGCUUUAAGUACCCCGCCUGGGGAGUACGGCCGCAAGGCUAAAACUCAAAGGAAUUGACGGGGCCCCGCACAAGCGGCGGAGCAUGCGGAUUAAUUCGAUGCAACGCGUAGAACCUUACCUGGGUUUGACAUGGAUCGGGAGCGCUCAGAGAUGGGUGUGCCUCUUUUGGGGUCGGUUCACAGGUGGUGCAUGGCUGUCGUCAGCUCGUGUCGUGAGAUGUUGGGUUAAGUCCCGCAACGAGCGCAACCCUUGUUCACUGUUGCCAGCACGUUAUGGUGGGGACUCAGUGGAGACCGCCGGGGUCAACUCGGAGGAAGGUGGGGAUGACGUCAAGUCAUCAUGCCCCUUGUGUCCAGGGCUUCACGCAUGCUACAAUGGCUGGUACAGAGAGUGGCGAGCCUGUGAGGGUGAGCGAAUCUCGGAAAGCCGGUCUCAGUUCGGAUUGGGGUCUGCAACUCGACCUCAUGAAGUCGGAGUCGCUAGUAAUCGCAGAUCAGCAACGCUGCGGUGAAUACGUUCCCGGG
rnacentral:rRNA from 1 species